CUCGAUAGCCCUGGGAAUCGCGGGGGUAUCCCGCCCGGGGGUUGGCGGGGCCUCGGAGAGCAGCUACCGGAGACUGGGAAAUGCUCGGCGCAGGGUUUUCCCACCACUACCCCCCUCCAGGAUAGCUAGAGCUCACGCGGAGCUAAGGAAGCCUUUCUGAUGCUCCUGAGCCUCGACUAUCCCUCUCGCCCCGGCGCUCCCACUUCACCCGGCUUGCCACCACCGGCAAAGUGCCUCGCACACAGGAGCGCAGGUGCCUCUCCCCCCCCCCCCCCAUGGCCCAGUGUGGCCUCCACAAGCCAGUUUCCCAGACUCCAGGGAGCGACCUGCGCUCCAGAUUCCGCCCGACAGCACGUCCCACCCAGGUGUCCCCAGUCUCCACCCUCUUUCGUAUCUCUAGGCCCCUGGGAAGAUCCAGGAAUUCACCAAACACAAAUGGCAGCAGGCUGGUAAUCAGGCCUCACCCAAGGCUUGGCAGGUUCCCUCUAGCCCUUGUCUUGGAGAUGGAGCCACCAAGUGGAGAACUGGAGCCAGGACCCCGUGUCUAGCGCAUCUCCUCACGCCUUCUGUCCUGUCCUAGAUGUUUUUCUGGUUUUCCCAAGUGCCAGCCACUUCUCAGAUUCACGCAUCUUUGAGCGAAGAAAAUCCGGGUUCCCACCCCAGACACUUAAAAAUGUCAUUAUAGCUUUACCUCUUACAGGUGGCAGUAAAGGACCUCUUUAAAUAGCGGGUUAAACGGAUGCAGAUGUACACAAUGUACCGUGGAAUUACCGGGUGCUGGUCUGGCCUUCUGCCAAGAACAGCUACCGCGGCGGGUGGGAGGGGUGCAGCAGGAAGCGAAGAAAAGUUGUUCCAUUUGAUUUUCUGAACAAUGAAUGAGCUAGGAUUUCAGAGCACUUCCAAGGCCUGGGAGAGUCAGCGUCCUCAACUUCUUCCCCUCGCUUCUUAAAUGCCCCUCCCCUUAUUUUUUAAAGACACGAUCUCCUGUAGCCCACGGCCUCCAACUCACUGUGGAGGAUAAUCUUGAACUAAUGGUCCUUCCCCCAUCUCCCCAGCGCAGCAAUAACAAGCACUGGCCAGCAUGCUGAGUUCAUAUGACACUGAAGAAUCAAUUCAGGUUUUGCCACGCUAGCACAUACUCUACUAGCUGAGCUGCAUCCUUGGCCAUUAUGGUCCAGAGCAGGAGGCAGAGACCUAACUAAGGAAGGCCAGCUCUGUCUGAGGUCUCCAGGCUCAUUAGAGGAUCCCACCUACCAGUGUCUAAUGAAGGAGAGCUAUUGUCAUGCCUGUUGCACACACAGCGAUAUCAAGCUGCUGAAAGCUGCAGCAGCAGGUCCGGUGGUCACGUGGUGAAUUAGUAACUAACACAGGAAAAGGGGCCAGCGUUCUGGUCCUUCCAGUUUGGCUGCCUCUUUAAAUCCUCAAAUCCAGUUAUAGCCUGGGGCUGUGGGUGUGAACAGGUUCCAUUACUAGGGGAAAGGUCCCUCAUUUUCCCAAUCGUCUACUGCAAACCUGCUUUUUAAUUUCAGGGAUAAAGGCCUAGAAGGAGGUCGAAUACCACCCUGUCCCUCAAACACGCAAACGCGUUUGUUCUUUCAGAGUCUGGUAUUUCACAGCAACUGCUGAUGGAGCCUAUAUGAGCUGGAACUGCAGCUGCUGCAUUGAUGCCACAACAGGAAGUGAUCUCAGCCAGAGACAAUGCAAUCACAGGAAUCAAGUCUACUGUUCUCAAACUUGAGAAUGAGUCAGAAUCACCUGGAGGCGUUUGUUAAAGCAUACUGCAUGGGAGAAGAUACAGGCAGGAACAUCACAAGUUCAAGGUCAGCCUGGCCUACUUGGAACAACAAAACAACAGGACACAAUACCACAUGGGCUGGGGAGAGCUCAGUGGGUAAAGUCCUUCAAGCAGAUGUGAGGACUGGAGUUCAGAUUCCCAGUACCCACAAAAAUGUCAGGUGGGUGUGGUGACCCUCUGUAAACUCAGCACUUCGAAGGCAGAGAUUGUGUGGUUUGAAUAGGAAUGGUCCUCCGUAGAUGCAUGUGUUUGAAUGCUUGGUCAUAGUGAGUGGCACUAUUAGGAAGUGUGGCCUUGUUGGAGGAAGUGUAUCACUGAGGGGGCAGGCUUUGAGGUCUCCUAUGCUUCAGUUAUGUCCAGUAUGGCACACAGUCUCCUCCUGCUGCCUUCGGAUCAAAAUGUAGAACUCUCUGCUCCUUCAGCACCAUGUCUGCUUGCAUGCCGCCAUGUUUCCUGGCAUGAUGAUAAUGGACUGGACCUCUGGAACUGUAAGCCAGGGUCAAUUAAAUGUUUUCCUGUAUAAGAGUUGUGUGGUCAUGGUGUCUCUUCACAGCAAUAGAAACCCAAACUAAGAUAGAGAUGGUUCAGUGGGUUAAAUGUUAAUGAUCUUUUGCUGAGUUUGGAUGCUAAGGAUAAUCCAUGUAAGUUGAGGUUGGCUGUCUUCCUCUGAAGGAACCAGCUUCCUUUU